AUGGGAUUUAAUAUCAGCUGGAUUUUCAUCCUGACCAUUUUACGAGGUGGUCAGUGUGAUGUGCAUUUCAUUGAAUCUGGAGGAGAUGUGAGACAGCCUGGGGAGUCUCUACAGCUUUCCUGUAAAGCUUCUGGAUAUACCACCAGCAACAAAUGGAUGAACUGGGUCCGCCAGACUACAGGGAAGAAAUUGGAAUGGGUAGGAAGUACUUAUGGAAGUAGCUUUUACUAUGCUGAUUCAGUGAAAGGUCGAUUCACCAUUUCCAGAGAUGAUUCCAACAGCAUGCUAUAUCUGCAAAUGAAUUCUCUUAAAGCUGAGGAUACAGCUGUAUAUUACUGUGCAGGUGACACAGUGAUGGAAAAGUGA